AUGCCCCCACCAGGGCAUUUCGGUCAUUUCACGUGGUGGGGGUAUAAAAGGGUCGGCCGCUCCUGUAACGAAGACCUAGCCUCCUCCUCCCUCGCUCGCUCCUGCAGCCGCCUCCCUCCUUCCUCGCUCACUCCUCAUCCGGCAACGGCGGCGGUGGCUCCCGCGCCCGUCGUCUCCUCCCCCCCACACUCGCCGCCGCCUCCUCUCCUCCCCCGUGCCCCGCUCAUCCCGCCUCGCCGCCUCCUCCUCUCCUCCCCUGCGUCCCGCUCCUCCCGCCUCGCUGCCGCCUCCUCUCCCCUUUCUGUCUCGCCGCCAUGCCUUCCUGCCCUGCCGCCGCGCCUCUCUCCAAUCCCCGCCCCGAGCUCCACCGCAUCCAUACCUGCUCGUUGGCAGCAGGUGGGGCUCCACCUCGUCUAG
rnacentral:rRNA from 1 species